AUGAGGCUUUCCAUUCAGUUCCUGGGGCUCCUAUUGUUCUGUCUUCAUGGUGCUCAGUGUGACAUCCAGAUGACACAAUCUCCAUCUUUACUAUCUGCAUCUCUGGGAGAAAGAGUCACCAUCACUUGCCGGGCAAGUCAAGACAUUGACAAGUAUAUAGCUUGGUAUCAACAAAAGCCUGGGAAAGCUCCUAGGCUGCUCAUACGUCACACAUCUCAACUAGAGUCAGGCAUCCCAUCGAGGUUCAGUGGCAGUGGCUCUGGGAGAGAUUAUUCCUUCAGCAUCAGCAAUGUGGAGUCUGAAGAUAUUUCAACUUAUUAUUGUCUACAGCAUUACAAUCUUCCCACAGUGAUACAAGUCAUAACAUAA